rnacentral:rRNA from 1 species
GCCUAGCCCUAAACCUUGGUAAUGUAUCACAUACCCUACCCGCCUGGGAACUACGAGCACCAGCUUAAAACCCAAAGGACUUGGCGGUGCUUUAGACCCCCCUAGAGGAGCCUGUUCUAGAACCGAUAACCCCCGUUCAACCUCACCCUUCCUUGUUUAUCCCGCCUAUAUACCGCCGUCGUCAGCUUACCCUGUGAAGGCCUAAAAGUAAGCACAACUGGUACAACCCAAAACGUCAGGUCGAGGUGUAGCGCAUGGAGGGGGAAGAAAUGGGCUACAUUCCCUAUAUUAGGGAACACGAACGGCGCACUGAAACACGCGCCUGAAGGAGGAUUUAGUAGUAAGCGGAAAAUAGCGUGUUCCACUGAAAUCGGCCCUGAAGCGCGC